AUUUUUUAAAUUAAUAGUAAGCUCAAAGAGAAUAAUCGGGGGUAGAUCUAUUUCAUGGCGAACGGCGAAAUGUUUUGACCCAUGAGAGAGAAACUAAGGCUAAGGCAUCUACCAAGUGUAUUUCUAUCGAUCAAGGGCGAUAGUAGGAAUAUCAAACCGGAUCAGAGACCCGGGUAGUUCCUACCAUAAACUAUGCCGACAAUAGCUUAUUAACAUUCUCUGUAGUUAGUAGGAUAAUUAGAGAAAUCAUAGUUCAUGGGCUCUGGGGGAACUACGACCGCAAGGCUGAAACUUGAAGGAAUUGACGGAAGGGCACACCAGGGGUGGAGCUUGUGGCUUAAUUUGAAUCAACACGGGAAAACUUACCAGUACCAGAUAUUUUUUAAGACUGAUCAGGAUAAAGUUCUUUCAGGAUA
rnacentral:rRNA from 1 species